UGGGGAAUAUUGGGCAAUGGGCGGAAGCCUGACCCAGCAACGCCGCGUGAAGGAAGAAGGCUUUCGGGUUGUAAACUUCUUUUCUUGGGGACGAAGAAAGUGACGGUACCCAAGGAAUAAGCCACGGCUAACUACGUGCCAGCAGCCGCGGUAAUACGUAGGUGGCAAGCGUUAUCCGGAUUUAUUGGGUGUAAAGGGCGUGUAGGCGGGACUGCAAGUCAGAUGUGAAAAUCUAUGGGCUCAACUCAUAGCCUGCAUUUGAAACUGUAGUUCUUGAGUGCUGGAGAGGCAAUCGGAAUUCCGUGUGUAGCGGUGAAAUGCGUAGAUAUACGGAGGAACACCAGUGGCGAAGGCGGAUUGCUGGACAGUAACUGACGCUGAGGCGCGAAAGCGUGGGGAGCAAACAGGAUUAGAUACCC
rnacentral:rRNA from 1 species